AGCAAAGCAGCGUCUGCAGGAGGAGGUCUUCCCUGAGGAAAAUCUGAAAUACACAGUGUCAGUAAAUACCAGCCCCCUGGAAAGUUCCAGCUUCCCUGAAACUUAACCUCCUCACAGGAGAAAGGUAGACCAGAGUGCCUGAUUCUGAAACCUGUUAGGAGUGUGACCAGCACAUUCUCCUGCCUGAGUAACAGACCUGAAGGCUGGCUUGAGUGUCUGGUGCCCUGGGCCUGGGCCAACAUUUCUGGACACCUGUGUUUAGGUCUUUAGUUUUGCUGAAAGCCAUGUAGACAACGUGACUUUAUCUAUCUGCAAGGUCGCUGUGAGAGAGCUCCCUGGGAAGGCUCCUACCGCCCUCCCUGCGGUGGGUGUGGCCUCACGUGUCUGACGUAACCCUGUGACCAGCAGGCAGCCAAUGGGCUUCGACACAGUUUUAACGGUUAGUACCAUCGAUGGACUACAAAGACCCAAGGAAAAGAGGUUCUUGGCACUGGAAUUCACACCCAGAGCUACAUGGUGCAGAAUGGACACUUGAUUCAGUGCCUGGAUGGCACGUUAGGAUCUGGAGGGUGCCAGGGGCUCAGCACCAGAGACACAAACCCUCAGACUCUACUACCAAGCAUGCCUGGUUGUUUCUUCUACAAAUGGGCAAGUCCCAUCUGUCCCGUGCACCAUGCUUCCUAUCCUCUUUUGAUGUGAGGAUCAAAGAAGACAACAGAUGUGAAAACACAUUAAAAGAUACAAA